AGUGAACGCUGGCGGCAGGCCUAAUACAUGCAAGUCGAACGAAAGGACAGGAAGAUUGCGCCUCUAACGGUGGCGGCGGGCGGGUGGGUGACAAGUGGAUCGGAUACCUCUAAGACUGGGGGGACUUCGGAGGGAAAGAGAUGCUAACAGCGAAUAUGAUGUACGGCAUAAAGCAGGAGUGCUAGGGAGUUUGGCUGUCUCUAAUAGAUGGAGCCGGGUCGGAUUAGCUAGUUGGUAAGGUAACGGCUCACCAAGGCAACGAUGCGUAGCCGAGCUGAGAGGGUGAUCGGCCACACUGGAACUGAGACACGGUCCAGACUCCUACGGGAGGCAGCAGUGGGGAAUCUUCGGCAAUGGGCGAAAGCCUGACGGAGCAAUGCCGCGUGAGUGAUGAAGGUCUUCGGAUUGUAAAACCCUUUUAUUAGGGAAGAACAAAUGCGUAAGUAACUACCCACGUUCUGACGGUACCCAAACAGAAAGCCACGGCUAACUACGUG
rnacentral:rRNA from 1 species